UUGUUCAUAAGCAUCUGGGAUGCAGUGAUGAUCUUGCCAACUCCAGCAGCAUCAGCUAAAUACACUAACCACACAUUGGCCAGACAAAUCUGUGUAAUGCAGAGGUCCAGAUGCAUUGGCUACGUGUUAUGGCAAGACAGUUAUUUCCUAAUACAUGACUCUAAAUUAGUUAUCAGUGGAUUUGCACAAAGCGCAACAUACUUAAAAUCAGGCAAGUACAGCUUGAAAUGUCCUCUUGGGCUUGGCUGGUGGUACUGGAAUGGACAUUGUUACUUUAUAGAAAGGAAUAGAACUCUGAGUUGGAUGGAAGCCAGGCUGUUUUGCAGCCAUUUUAAAAGAACAAGUCUGUUGCAGCUGGAAUUGUUGGCUGAAAAGGGCUGGCUACAAAAGAUGAUAAAACAGCCAGCAUGGAUAGGAAUGAAAUGGGAAACAUCAACAUCUGAGUGGCAAUGGGCAGAUGGAUCAAGAGUAAACACAGCUCU